ACUAAAAGAUCGUUUGAUUUCCAGCGACGAAAUGCUUCGUGGAAGAUUAGUUUUUGUUUUGCUUGGGAGUUGCAGGUACAUUUCCCCUUUAUUUUCUGGAAAAAGACCAGUUUCUGUCAUCAGCUAUGGUCAGCAGAGGGGGCUAUUUAUCAUCCCAGGUUUUGUGUGGGUUUUUUUAAUUUCUUCUGGAGAGUAAACAGUUCAAUCUGUGAAAGGAAACAACCGGUUGCUCUAUUACAAGAAAUCGCAAAGACUAGUCAGCCAGUCUGAAAUCGAACCCUAGAGGGAGGAAACCAUCUCUCAUCUCCGAUCAAUUAUCUUUCCUCUAUGAUGUCACAGGAUCUAAACUGAAAAAUAAACUCUCUCCGAUUUUGCACCGUGCCGCGUGCAGUCAUGCACACCCCUCUUGGCGAGAUGGUAUCACCCGUACCGCUCAUUUCCUGUGCUGUGUUGUGUGUGUGUGUAUGGGCAGCUAUUUUGUGAGUGGCGGGUCAGAUGGCUUGUUUAUGCGGAGCGGUGAAGUAAUAGGUUGAUCCUACAUUGUAGCCAAAUAAUAGGAAUUCCCUCAGCUGAAGGCCGGCCAACGCGAGAGAGAGAGAGAGUGUGUUGUCAUCCCUGCAAACCCGCGGAUCUUAUAAUAGUGUUGUUCUACUAGCACUGCCAGUUUACUCUUACCCUGUUGGAUAUAUACACACACUGGAAUAUACCGAGCAUGGAUGUAAUGGGGUAACACUAUGGGAUCAUUACCCGGACAAGCUUGUCGGGGACAUAUUUUUGUCGGUGCGCGGGUAAGAGCUCAGGAUUUGAUUACCGUGCGCCUUAGCACCCGGGAGUGACGUAGGUGUAUACAUGUGUGUGUGUGUGGAGGCCCAUCAGUGGAUCCUGUCUUUGGAUAUAUUACAUUUCUCAAGUGGAAGACAUAUUUAUUCAUGAGUUAAAACGCCAGCUCCUCCUGUGUGUAUGAUACACACGCUGCCUCGUCCGUCACAGGAAUCUAAAUGCUCUUAGUGGAUUUCUAAUUCUACAUUCGACAGAUUUUUUUUUUUUUUUGGCAAGACAUCUGAACCGUGGAUUAUAUAUACAUUGUGCGUGGCUUGUUGGAUGUAUUUAUUUGUUGCCAGGGGGCACUGCACAUGGUGCUGUUGAUUUUAAAGGUUGGCUGACGAUUUGCGUAUAUCCGAAGACGAGAGUGAUUCAGAGGAGCCACAGACAGUCAAGGAGGAUUCAGGGGAGCGCGACAGCCCAAGGUGAGUACCCAUCAGCUUUCAAAAAAAAAUCGGCAAAAUUAUACAGUUAAUGUAAAAUAAACAUUAUUUUAUAUAAAUUUGGGGUCCAAUCUUUAUUUUUCGGUGUCCCUGUUACAUCUGAAAUAAGAAUAUGAUUUAAUAAAUUCAGAACACAUUCUUGAAAGUCCUCUACCUCCAAGAGUAAUUAUGUAAUGCAUAGUACCUGCUAAACAAAUACAAAUGACACACAAAGAUCAGGGCCCAAUUUCAUAGCGCUGCUUAACAGCCAACUUU